rnacentral:lncRNA from 1 species
CUCGAUUGGUUUUGCUAAUCCUAUUUCAUUUAUUUCAUCUUUUUUUUUUCGGUUGAUAUUAUACUAUUUGGAAUUUUAUGAUAUGCUGAUAAAAUAAAUAACUUCCCUGAUACGAGCGAUGUUUAUCUCCACCGAUCUUGGGAACGUCAUGGAUGGAUCCCACGUCAUCCUCCUUCUUUUAAUCUGCUUCGUCCGUUUCUACCCUUAUUCGGUUCCACAUCUAAUCUAUCCAACAAAAAAAAAAAAUUUAAACCAUAUCCCUUUGCGGUUUACCAAAAAAAAAAGAAGACAAUAUCCCUUGUGUAAAGGAUUUGUAAUAUAUAGUGUGACAUGACUGUUUCGGCGUCUUUUAUUUUAAUAUUACUUAAUUUAUCAAAUCCCUAAAUUGUAUCAUACAUAUUUUAAUUAAAUCAGAUAAACAUAUGGUUUAAAUAAAAUACUUACGUUAACGAAAAGCUAAAAAGGUUUUUUUUAUUUUUCUUCCAGUUUUACCUGACCCGAAUCCAAAGAUGAUAUCAUCGACGACUUGCCUCAAGAUUUCGAGAUUACGAUAUUUAAAAAAGAAGAAAAAAACUCAUAUAAUGUGUGUAGUAGAUAUACAAAUUGAAGUCAAUAAUUGUUAACGGAUAGAAGGAAGGAAGGAUGAUGACUCGUGCUGGAUGUAAAAAGCCGUAGCUGUAAUUGGACCCUGGUAGGCCCUUCUUACGUCUCUGAGCCCACUUGCUAACUUACUCAUAUCUUAUUUUUAGCUUUAUCCAUAUUUGCAUCAGCCAUCAUACAUGGGAAAAUGUGUUCUGUCAAAAUGCUUAUCAACUUAUCAUUAAUCAAAUGGACAUUUUCUUAUCCCUAUACAUUAUUAUUCCAAAGGAAAAAAGUAAUUUCAAUCAAUCUCACAAAUCAUCAGAACGGGAAAAAUAAGUGUUUGCUUAAGCAGAUAGAGAGGAAUGAUUUGGUUUCGCUCUUUGUUUCUAUGAUUUCUUAGGAAACUUUGAAUCGUUGGAAGAUUUGAUAAGAUGACGUACGAUGAUUUUUAUAAGGCAAAAAGGAGAAGCCAAGUCACUAGUGUUGGUUUUGCC